UACGAAGGGGGCUAGCGUUGCUCGGGAUCACUGGGCGUAAAGCGCACGUAGGCGGAUUGUUAAGUCAGGGGUGAAAUCCUGGAGCUCAACUCCAGAACUGCCUUUGAUACUGGCGAUCUCGAGUCCGGGAGAGGUGAGUGGAACUGCGAGUGUAGAGGUGAAAUUCGUAGAUAUUCGCAAGAACACCAGUGGCGAAGGCGGCUCACUGGCCCGGUACUGACGCUGAGGUGCGAAAGCGUGGGGAGCAAACAGG
rnacentral:rRNA from 1 species